UUGAGGAACGGAAGUGCUUCCAAGUGUCCAUGUUGAGCCCUGGAAACUACAACGACCAAAGGGCCACGGGUUCCUGGGCCGUUUCUCAUUUCCGUCGAGUUAAACGUCUGGGGCUGCUUCUGAGGAAUCAGCUUGACUGGCCAGCAAGUUCAGCUCCGGCAAGUCAUUUGAUUCACCUGGUGAUGAAAUGGGGGUCAGCCAGUCUGUGGGCUUUCCACCUGUCACAGGACCCCACCUCGUAGGCUGUGGGGAUGUGAUGGAGGGUCAGAAUCUCCAGGGGAGCUUCUUUCGACUCUUCUACCCCUGCCAAAAGGCCGAGGAGACCAUGGAGCAGCCCCUGUGGAUUCCCCGCUAUGAGUACUGUACUGGCCUGGCCGAGUACCUGCAGUUCAAUAAGCGCUGGGGGGGCUUGCUGUUCAACCUGGCUGUGGGAUCUUGUCGCCUGCCUGUUAGCUGGAAUGGCCCCUUUAAGACAAAGGACUCUGGAUACCCCUUGAUCAUCUUCUCCCAUGGCCUAGGAGCCUUCAGGACUUUGUAUUCAGCCUUCUGUAUGGAGCUGGCCUCACGUGGCUUUGUGGUUGCUGUGCCAGAGCACAGGGACCGGUCAGCGGCAACCACCUAUUUCUGCAAGCAGGCCCCAGAAGAGAACCAGCCCACCAAUGAGUCGCUGGAGGAGGAAUGGAUCCCUUUCCGUCGAGUUGAGGAAGGGGAGAAGGAAUUUCAUGUUCGGAAUCCCCAGGUGCAUCAACGGGUAAGCGAGUGUUUACGGGUAUUGAAGAUCCUGCAAGAGGUCACUGCUGGGCAGACUGUCUUCAACAUCUUGCCUGGUGGCUUGGAUCUGAUGACUUUGAAGGGCAACAUUGACAUGAGCCGUGUGGCUGUGAUGGGACAUUCAUUUGGAGGGGCCACUGCUAUUCUGGCUUUGGCUAAGGAGAUCCAAUUUCGGUGUGCAGUGGCUCUGGAUGCUUGGAUGUUUCCUCUGGAACGUGACUUUUACCCCAAGGCCCGAGGCCCUGUGUUCUUUAUCAAUACUGAGAAAUUCCAGACAAUGGAGAGUGUCAAUUUGAUGAAGAAGAUAUGUGCCCAGCAUGAACAGUCUAGGAUCAUAACUGUUCUUGGUUCUGUUCAUCGGAGUCAAACUGACUUUGCUUUUGUGACUGGCAACUUGAUUGGUAAAUUCUUCUCCACUCAAACCCGUGGGAGCCUGGACCCCUAUGAAGGGCAGGAGGUUAUGGUGCGGGCCAUGUUGGCCUUCCUGCAGAAGCACCUCGCGUUGCUGCUGACUCUCCUCUAAGGAACCUUCCCUGUACGCCUGUGCAAGCUCCUCCAGCAUCCUCUCCCUCCUGCCUGCUGAAAGCAGCUGGAUCUAUUCCUCAGAAUUAUGUAGACACCUGUUGGACCAGUCAUGUGGACAGGAGAGAUACUGAGAUACCUAUGCCAUGACCUACCUUUUACAACCAAGGCAGGCAAGGUGCGUGACUGUCUACCACAACCAUGUGGGAUGGCAGAAGCCCCCCAAGGGGCAGAAUUCCAGGCAGACAGACUACCCUUAUCCUCAUAAGGACUCUAGAGUAUUUCUUCUGGGAUGGAGUUGCCUUUUUCUUUACCUUCUGGGACCUCUUUUUUUCUUUUUUUUAAACUGGGAUCUCUCACUUUGUUUAGAAAGCAUUUUGAAUACCUUUAGCAGAUUAAAGAAGCCAUUCAGUUAUGAAUGCAUUGACACAACACUAUUCAGAAGGACAUUUGCCCUAAAACCAAAUUAUUAAAUUGAUAACAUAUUUUAGUCAUCAAGUGGCAUAUGCUAAGCAGACAUCUUCCCUUCCCUUCUGAGCCCCACCCCAAUGCCAGCUCUCACCUCUGGAAAUCAAGGAUGAUUGGCAGUGGAGAGUGAAUCAGAGGCAUAGUUCAAACCAAGAAUGGAGUCAAAGUCAACAGUCCAGUGAAGCUCGGGGUAGGGUGAACAUCCGAAUCUGAAGUGGCAAGGGUGACCUGACUGCCUGUGUCCCCAGUCCCCAAUCCCAGGCCUUGCCACUGUCUUUGCCUCCUUGUCUUCAAUAAAUAAAGUUCUGGAGACUGGGAAGUUCAUGAUCAAGGUGCCGGCUGAUGAAGCUUCUGCCUAUGUUGCCUAGGCUGGAGUGCAGUGGCUAUUCACUGGUGCGAUCGUGAUGAAUGACAGCCUCGAACUCCUGGGCUCUCGCCAUCCUCCCGACUCAGCUUCCCGAAUCGCUGGGACUACAUGUAUUUGCCUCUGAACUCAGCUAAGAUUUUUUGUUUUAGCCUGGUUAGAACCAAAGAAGCCACAGCAGGACUUCUGGACCCAGCCAUAGGCCAGCGGAGAGCAGAGAGAAGCCUGGGGAAAUGGAAAGGGGAUAAGACUGGCGACUUCGUUGCAUGUGACCGAUUCCCUAAGCCAUCUGCUCUUACAAAUCCCUACUUAGCAGCCCAGAGCAGUUACAGAGAGGGACAGGGGUCUUUGAAACACAAAUCACCAGUGAUGACAAGGCCACUGGGUAUGAGGCUGUUUGUUCUCUUCCUGAGUGGAUAAGGUUUCUAAGGGAUAAAUGGAGUGUUCUUACUGGCUGGCCCAGGACCUGCUGUUCCCAUGCAAUGGCUAGGGGAUGCUGUCAGAGGCUCUAGGGAGUGGGAAUGGCCUGACUUCCAGAAAAGACUAGUUGAAAAUCCAGCUACAAGGUAAGCUCCAGAGCCUGGACCCUGGCAAAUUAGUCUUUUGGCCUGGUUGCCAUGGAGACAGGCAGGCAGCAGCUGCUGGGGAAGAGGAAACAGCAGCUCCACCGACAUCUAGGAUUCUGAGACAGCCAUGAUGGGGGAGGGGGCUUGACACCACCCUUUCUCCCCCAGAUACUGAGGUCCCUGUUUGCCCCCCACCCCCCGGACCCCCUGAUUCCCAGACUCACAGGCUCUGGUGAGUUGCCAGGGUCUGAACACAAGACAGUAGCAGUACUGGAUCCUGAAACCCCAGUUUCCUGCUUCCAAGCCAGUGCCCCACCCCUACUACACCACAGUUGCCUCCUGCUUCAGAGCAAAAGAUCUUCCAGCGCACUGCGCUUCCGGGCCCUGAGAGGGCUCCCAAGCUGCCUCCUUGGAGGGGAUAAGUCAUUAGAGGUGAAUCCCAGUGUGUUGGCCACCAGAGGCCAAUUUGGCCCAGUGCUCUAUCGCUGUCUCUCUGGAAAACCUGGCAGUGUCUUCAUGGGUCUGUGACCAGCCAUUGUCUAGGAAGGGAGCUUGAAGUGGAGCCCAGAGGGAACUCAGCAAAUGAUGCGGUUCAUUGUUCCUUCAUUUGAUGCUACGCUGAUAACAUUAAUUUGCAGCUUCACCGGCCAUGCUGCCUGGCUGGCCGCCCUCCAAGUCCUGACCUCCCUAGACUGGUGGAAACAGCCCUUGGCUCUCCCUCUCCUAGGGGUUAUCUCUGGAAAUUGAAGGUGGGAGAGGAGGGGCUUAGGAUCCAGGUCACCUGAGUCCACUUUCACAGCCCGGAGGUUGUGUCUCAGCAUCUCAGUUUCAUCCUCUUUGGUAAAAGGAGAAACGAGGCUGGUAUUAUCUAGGGCUUUGAGUAUCUGGGCUUUGGAUGUGUGUAGGAUCCUUACAUAAGAGAACAGAGAGCUAGUGUGGAGAGACAGGAGAGGACUGGAGAAAAGCAGAGGCUGCUACUGACCAGCCUGGGCUUUUGAUGUUGCUGUUUUAAUUAUGAAGGUAGUUCAUGUGUGGGCGUUAUGAAAGAAAAAAGUCAAUGCCAAAGAAUAUAAAGGAAACGGAGAAAAUGACCCAUCACCUCAAGCCCCAAUCCCUCUCCCCUGGUGGAAACCACACAUAAUUUUGUUGUGUAUCUUUUCAGAUCUUCCUCUAUUCUCACACUUUCCCCACUACAUUACUAUUACUUUAAAAUUAUACAAAUGAUAUGAACACAUUUCUACAAAGAUGCAAACACCACAGAUAAAUAGUCUAUUCCCUUCACCACAGCUAUUUUGUUUGUUUGUUUGUUUGUUUUUGAGAUGGCGUCUCCCUGUGUUACCCAGGCUGGAGUGCA